AAGUCGGACGGGAUCCGUCGGAGAGCUUGCUCGAAGACGGUGAGAGUGGCGCACGGGUGCGUAACGCGUGAGCAACCUACCUCUAUCAGGGGGAUAGCCUCUCGAAAGAGAGAUUAACACCGCAUAAUAUAUCUGACCGGCAUCGGUUAGCUAUUAAAUAUUUAUAGGAUAGAGAUGGGCUCGCGUGACAUUAGCUAGUUGGUAGGGUAACGGCUUACCAAGGCGACGAUGUUUAGGGGCUCUGAGAGGAGAAUCCCCCACACUGGUACUGAGACACGGACCAGACUCCUACGGGAGGCAGCAGUAAGGAAUAUUGGUCAAUGGGCGGAAGCCUGAACCAGCCAUGCCGCGUGCAGGAUGACUGCCCUAUGGGUUGUAAACUGCUUUUGUCCAGGAAUAAACCUAGAUACGUGUAUCUAGCUGAAUGUACUGGAAGAAUAAGGAUCGGCUAACUCCGUGCCAGCAGCCGCGGUAAUACGGAGGAUCCGAGCGUUAUCCGGAUUUAUUGGGUUUAAAGGGUGCGUAGGCGGCCUAUUAAGUCAGGGGUGAAAUACGGUGGCUCAACCAUCGCAGUGCCUUUGAUACUGAUGGGCUUGAAUCCAUUUGAAGUGGGCGGAAUAAGACAAGUAGCGGUGAAAUGCAUAGAUAUGUCUUAGAACUCCGAUUGCGAAGGCAGCUCACUAAGCUGGUAUUGAC
rnacentral:rRNA from 1 species